UACGUAGGGGCAAGCGUUGGUCCGGAAUCAUUGGGCGUAAAGAGCUCGUAGGUGGUUGUCGCGUUGUUCGUGAAAACUCACAACUCAAUUGUGGCGUGCGGGCGAUACGGGCAGACUGGAGUACUGCAGGGGAGACUGGAAUUCCUGGUGUAGCGGUGAAAUGCGUAGAUAUCUGGAGGAAUACCGGUGGCGAAGGCGGCAUCCUGGACCGACAUUGACGCUGAUGAGCGAAAGCUA
rnacentral:rRNA from 1 species